rnacentral:tRNA from 1 species
GACAAGAUGUCUGAAAAAGAAUGGGGUUGUAAACCCCCUUAUGUAGAUUAAAGCUCUACUCUUCGUCA